GAAAUGCGAUAAGUAAUGUGAAUUGCAGAAUUCAGUGAAUCAUCGAAUCUUUGAACGCACCUUGCGCUCCUUGGUAUUCCUUGGAGCAUGCCUGUUUGAGUAUCAUGAAAUCUUCAAAGUAAAUAUUUUGUUAACUCAAUUGGUUUCUACUUUGGUAUUGGAGGUCUUUGCAGCUUCACACCUGCUCCUCUUUGUUCAUUAGCUGGAUCUCAGUGUUAUGCUUGGUUCCACUCGGCGUGAUAAGUUAUCUAUCGCUGAGGACACUGUAAAAGGUGGCCAAGGUAAAUGCAGAUGAACCGCUUCUAAUAGUCCAUUCACUUGGACAAUACUUUUAUGAUCUGAUCUCAAAUCACGUAGGACUACCCGCUGAACUUAAGC
rnacentral:misc_RNA from 1 species